rnacentral:rRNA from 1 species
AUUGAACGCUGGCGGCAUGCCUUACACAUGCAAGUCGAACGGCAGCACGGGUGCUUGCACCUGGUGGCGAGUGGCGAACGGGUGAGUAAUACAUCGGAACGUACCUUAUCGUGGGGGAUAACGCAGCGAAAGCUGUGCUAAUACCGCAUACGCCCUGAGGGGGAAAGCGGGGGAUCGCAAGACCUCGCGCGAUUAGAGCGGCCGAUGCCUGAUUAGCUUGUUGGUGGGGUAAAAGCCCACCAAGGCGACGAUCAGUAGCUGGUCUGAGAGGACGAUCAGCCACACUGGGACUGAGACACGGCCCAGACUCCUACGGGAGGCAGCAGUGGGGAAUUUUGGACAAUGGGGGCAACCCUGAUCCAGCAAUGCCGCGCGAGUGAAGAAGGCCUUCGGGUUGUAAAGCUCUUUUGUCAGGGAAGAAACACCGGCUCUAACACAGUCCGGGAAUGACGGUACCUGAAGAAUAAGCACCGGCUAACUACGUGCCAGCAGCAGCCGCAG